GGGAGCCCCCUACUGACUGACGGGCUGUGUCCUUGUCACCAGCUCCGUGUCGCCGCCCGGCACCGCUGGCUCCUCCAGGCAGGGUGGCAAGGCAGUGUGCCACAGCCUGUCCACACGAAGAGCCUCUGCAGGACAGCAGGGUGUCAGCAUGGAGAGGGCAAGGCACAAGGCUCCCUCACAGGCCUGCCAGGUAAACACCCGCCGUGGGGCCAAGGGCGCUGCCGUCGCUGCAGGGCCGGGCCACAGCAGGAGGGGAAACCAGCCCCAGCACCGUGUCCCCAGCCGUGCCGUGCUGCUGGCUGCAGUCGCUGCGGGGCUGCGCAAGAAGGCACGGCAAGAUGAGGACAAGGACAAGAGAUCGAGGCAGUGGCAGCAAGUACAGGCAGAUAACAUGCUCGUCAUGCUCCUGUGUAGCAACAGGGCUAGCAGGGGCAGGACACGACAGCAGGAAUGGAAGCACAGGGGCAGAAGGCAUGUUAACAGAGACGAUCAGCGAGGGCAACAGGAGGGAGAGAAGGACCUCAUGGAUCAGGACCCCUGUGCAUCUUCCUCAAAUGGCUGUGGGAGACAGGGUGCCCAGCACAGGGGUCCUGUGCAUGGACAGCAGCAGAAGCAGCCUGGGAAGGCACAGUGGCAGGGUCACAGCUGUAGGAGGAAUUGGAAGCAGCAACCACUACAACAUACUGAGCCCCUCCACCAAGACCAGGCAGGUGUGCAGAGUGGCAGUGAUCAAAAGAGAGAACUGCUCUGGAAUGCGAAGAAGCGCUGCUGGAUCACAACGUCGCGUUUGCCAGCAGCACUGCGGCGAGAGGCAAGAACGCGCCUCCGGCCCAUGAACAUGGCAGGGUACCGCCUGCCAGGGAUGUGCACACCUCGCCCCACCAGCCAGUACCUCAUGGGCCAGCAUGACUACAUGCAGAUAGAUGAAAAAGAAGCGGCAGUGGAGGUGCCUGGAGAAGUGAGCAACUGCAGCACUGAAGGUGAGGAUUUUCCCUCUCAUGGCCACUUUCCCUCCCACAGCCCAGUAGGCUGAAGUCACAGCAGCAGAAGAGGAAGAGGAGAGCACAUGGUCUGCCUGCCAAGACUGCAAGCGCCAAGACGAUAACUUGUGUGAAACCUAAACCUGAGUGACAGCACAAGGAAAGUGUCUGACUUGUAAAAUCAUCAGCUAUUAAGAGCAGGGAACCACUUGACAUUCAGCUCCC
rnacentral:lncRNA from 1 species